CGCUGGCGGCGUGCUUAAUACAUGCAAGUCAACUGAACUUAAGAUAGCAAUAUUUUAAGGGAGGUGGCGCACGGGUGAGUAACACGUAGGUAAUCUGCCUUUAGGUCUGACACAACCCCGAGAAAUCGGGGCUAAUAUCAGAUGAUGCAGCGGCUCGACAUCGAGACAGUUGUUAAACCUUCGGGGCCUAAAGAUGAGCCUGCGUCUGAUUAGCUGGUUGGCGGGGUAACGGCCCACCAAGGCAACGAUCAGUAGCUGGUCUGAGAGAAUGAUCAGCCACACUGGAACUGAGACACGGUCCAGACUCCUACGGGAGGCAGCAGUAAGGAAUAUUGCUCAAUGGCCGAAAGGCUGAGGCAGCAACGCCGCGUGGAGGAUGAAAUACUUUUGUAUGUAAACUCCUGUGAGAAGGGAAAAAUAUGCAGAUUUUCUGCGUUGAUUGUACCUUCAGAGGAAGCCCCGGCUAACUACGUG
rnacentral:rRNA from 1 species